rnacentral:rRNA from 1 species
UUGGAAUGGCCGAUAUCUGAUUAGCUAGUUGGUAGGGUAAAAGCCUACCAAGGCGACGAUCAGUAGCUGGUCUGAGAGGACGACCAGCCACACUGGAACUGAGACACGGUCCAGACUCCUACGGGAGGCAGCAGUGGGGAAUUUUGGACAAUGGGGGCAACCCUGAUCCAGCAAUGCCGCGUGAGUGAAGAAGGCCCUCGGGUUGUAAAGCUCUUUUGUCAGGGAAGAAACGGAGUUCUCUAAUAUAGGAUUCUA